rnacentral:lncRNA from 1 species
GGCCCCUUGCCUACGCAGGGCCGCCGCGAGGAUUUUCGGAGGGUCCGCCGCCGGGUCUGGGGAACCCAGCCUUCCAUGCCAAUCUACCGCUAGCUGGAGCUGCCCCAGCCCCGCUGGUCAGGGACCCUGGGUGAGGGCCAGCUUUCCGGUUAGCAUCACCUGGGGGGAGCAGGAGCGAGAGUAGGCCUCAAAAAUGACGUAAAAAGGCGCAGGCGACUCCUGUGUGCACUGUUGGGAGAGCUGUGAUUUAUCUAUCUAUCAGUGGGCUUUCCCUGCUCUCUGGCUGGUUCUGAGGGCUGGACCUCGCUCCCCGCCACUGCCACCCCCACCCCCCAGGAUUCAGUGGUCUCCUGCUGCUAUCAGAAGUGGCAUCUCAGGCCUGCCACUUGCUUUUGGAGUUGGGUGCAGAAGUGUCCUGACUCUCAGCCCCUUGGAAGGCCCAGGUGAUUCCUGUGCCCCACAAGACUGAGAGGCGCUGCUUCAAGAGAUUACAGCUGAAUAGAAAAAGAAAAGUCGGAAAAUGAUAGCAGUGAAAUGUAAGAGAAAAGUGGGGAAAAAGUAGUUCAGGAGGAGCACAGAGCCCUUGCUUCCCAUUUGUGUACUUACUUACUUCCUACUGUAGAUGGCACUUUUCUCUGAGGACUCAUGCCUCACUCAUUUCUGGAACAAUUUAUGCCGAGGAUCAAGACCAUCUCUCCAGGGCUGUUUCUUUGCCUGAAGAUAAGAGGACACAAGUGGGUGACCUUCACAUUUUUUUCUCUAUGGAAUUGCCUGGUGUAGACAGAAAAACCCAACUGCAAAAACCUAACAAAGCACACGUAAGUCAGCAAAAUGGCCAGGGACUCUGAAAUCAGUAAAUUAUAAAAUUUGAUCAAUAAGUUCUAAGAAUCAAUAACCCCUGGGUUGGCCACGAACUCAACAGAUUUUAGAGCUGUAACCAUUUGUUAGCAUUUCCUAUUUCCCUUUUUUUAUUUUUUUUUAUUUUUUUGGAAAACGAAAUCCAAGGUUAGUCACUGCCGAGUACAAUGAAUGUAAAAUUCAUGAUAGCAGUUUUCAUUAUAUGCGGAAGAAGUGAUUAAUGAGUUCUUUAUAAUAAGAAACGUGUUUCAUGGAAUAAAUCAUCUGGAAUUCUUAAGGUGCAGAGCGGGCGACAUUCAUUCAGUGAGUAUAAUGAUGCUGUGUGAGAAUAACUUUAGAUAAUAAGAAUCUUAAUUUUCUGAGCUGAAAUGAAGUCUUAAAGUUUAAGUGAAGUUUAUAACCUCCUUUUGUUUUUAGAUACCCUUUGUCGUAAAAUAGACUCUAUUGUCAUGUUUUAACUGGGACAUUUUAAAUAUGCAAGAGCAUCCUGAAUUUGUAACAUCUCCUUCCUAGGCAAGAUUGUGUCAAAAUUAUAAGCAAAUGAAUAAUGGUUAAGAGUGUCUAAGGAUCAGCAAAUCCAAUUUUAUAACUUUCCAUGUUUUAUUUAAAAUAAGUUACUAAUGUCCAACUCCAUUCUAUUUGUUUGUUUUUGAAGUCCCAGGAUUGAAACAGAGCUUUGGGUAUACUAAGCUGGCAUUUUAUAACUGAGCUACCCAACCUCUAAGGACAUGUCUCAAUGCAUGUGUGUAUGCUUGCAUGUGCAGUUCAUCAUGGGGGCCUUCAAACAGCAGGUAGUGACUGUGAACUGUAAGUUUUAGAUUAAUUAUUUUGACAAUGUGAGAACUGGAAACUUGACAUUUAACAAUUAUCUUCUAUGCUCUCACACAUAGCUAGUGAGGUCAAAGUACUUACUAUUGGUGGCAAAAUACAUGAAAUAUAAAGCUGGUCAUUUUAACCAUAUAGAUUUGUUGCAGGAUAUCUGAUCAGACUGUGAACUGUGAUUGUGUUAUUUACUAAAAAGAAAAACUGUUUCAGGUUGUGGUAUGGCUUAGCCUUAGCAUACACCUUUAAUCCCUCUGGCUGGAGUACAGACACACCCUCAGUACACACAUUAAAAGAAAACAAUGAAGGUAAAGUUAGUUUGUAGAAGGAAGCAGACAUAUUUGAAAGUGAUGUCUAAUUGAGUGGCAGACACAGUGAUGAAUCAGAGAAAGAUUUGACAGAGUAGGAUAUACUCAACUCUCAGG